UGGGGAAUUUUGGACAAUGGGCGCAAGCCUGAUCCAGCCAUGCCGCGUGCGGGAAGAAGGCCUUCGGGUUGUAAACCGCUUUUGUCAGGGAAGAAAUCCUCUGAGUUAAUACCUCGGGAGGAUGACGGUACCCGAAGAAUAAGCACCGGCUAACUACGUGCCAGCAGCCGCGGUAAUACGUAGGGUGCAAGCGUUAAUCGGAAUUACUGGGCGUAAAGCGUGCGCAGGCGGUUUUGUAAGACAGAGGUGAAAUCCCCGGGCUCAACCUGGGAACUGCCUUUGUGACUGCAAGGCUUGAGUGCGGCAGAGGGGGAUGGAAUUCCGCGUGUAGCAGCGAAAUGCGUAGAUAUGCGGAGGAACACCGAUGGCGAAGGCAAUCCCCUGGGCCUGCACUGACGCUCAUGCACGAAAGCGUGGGGAGCAAACAGGAUUAGAUACCCUGGUAGUCCACGCCCUAAACGAUGUCAACUGGUUGUUGGGAAGGUUCCUUCUCAGUAACGUAGCUAACGCGUGAAGUUGACCGCCUGGGGAGUACGGCCGCAAGGUUGAAACUCAAAUGAAUUGACGGGGUCAUAGCUGUUU
rnacentral:rRNA from 1 species